UUCGAUUCUGGCUCAGGAUGAACGCUAGCUACAGGCUUAACACAUGCAAGUCGAGGGGCAGCAUGAGAUUAGCUUGCUAAUCUUGAUGGCGACCGGCGCACGGGUGAGUAACGCGUAUCCAACCUUCCCCCUACUCAGGCAUAGCCCGGUGAAAACCGGAUUAACUCCUGAUAGUUUCACUAGAUGGCAUCUGACGGUGAAUAAAGCUCAGCGGUAAGGGAUGGGGAUGCGUCUGAUUAGCUUGUUGGCGGGGUAACGGCCCACCAAGGCGACGAUCAGUAGGGGUUCUGAGAGGAAGGUCCCCCACAUUGGAACUGAGACACGGUCCAAACUCCUACGGGAGGCAGCAGUGAGGAAUAUUGGUCAAUGGGCGCGAGCCUGAACCAGCCAAGUAGCGUGCAGGACGACGGCCCUAUGGGUUGUAAACUGCUUUUGUAUGGGAAUAAAGUCAGGGACGUGUCCCUGUUUGCAUGUACCAUAAGAAUAAGGACCGGCUAAUUCCGUGCCAGCCGCUGC
rnacentral:rRNA from 1 species